ACGAACCGUGCGAACGUUGUCCGGAUUUACUGGGCGUAAAGGGCGCGUAGGCGGCCUCUUAAGUCGAACGUGAAAUCCCCGGGCUCAACCCGGGAACUGCGUCCGAUACUGGGAGGCUUGAAUCCGGGAGAGGGAUGUGGAAUUCCAGGUGUAGCGGUGAAAUGCGUAGAUAUCUGGAGGAACACCGGUGGCGAAGGCGGCAUCCUGGACCGGUAUUGACGCUGAGGCGCGAAAGCCAGGGGAGCAAACGGGA
rnacentral:rRNA from 1 species